rnacentral:rRNA from 1 species
AUUGAACGCUGGCGGCAGGCUUAACACAUGCAAGUCGAGCGGGGAAAUGUAGCUUGCUACAUUACCUAGCGGCGGACGGGUGAGUAAUGCUUAGGAAUCUGCCUAUUAGUGGGGGACAACAUUUCGAAAGGAAUGCUAAUACCGCAUACGCCCUACGGGGGAAAGCAGGGGAUCUUCGGACCUUGCGCUAAUAGAUGAGCCUAAGUCGGAUUAGCUAGUUGGUGGGGUAAAGGCCUACCAAGGCGACGAUCUGUAGCGGGUCUGAGAGGAUGAUCCGCCACACUGGGACUGAGACACGGCCCAGACUCCCACGGGAGGCAGCAGUGGGGAAUAUUGGACAAUGGGGGGAACCCUGAUCCAGCCAUGCCGCGUGUGUGAAGAAGGCCUUUUGGUUGUAAAGCACUUUAAGCGAGGAGGAGGCUACCUAGAUUAAUACUCUGGGAUAGUGGACGUUACUCGCAGAAUAAGCACCGGCUAACUCUGUGCCAGCAGCCGCGGUAAUACAGAGGGUGCAAGCGUUAAUCGGAUUUACUGGGCGUAAAGCGUGCGUAGGUGGCCAAUUAAGUCAAAUGUGAAAUCCCCGAGCUUAACUUGGGAAUUGCAUUCGAUACUGGUUGGCUAGAGUAUGGGAGAGGAUGGUAGAAUUCCAGGUGUAGCGGUGAAAUGCGUAGAGAUCUGGAGGAAUACCGAUGGCGAAGGCAGCCAUCUGGCCUAAUACUGACACUGAGGUACGAAAGCAUGGGGAGCAAACAGGAUUAGAUACCCUGGUAGUCCAUGCCGUAAACGAUGUCUACUAGCCGUUGGGGUCUUUGAGACUUUAGUGGCGCAGCUAACGCGAUAAGUAGACCGCCUGGGGAGUACGGUCGCAAGACUAAAACUCAAUGAAUUGACGGGGGCCCGCACAAGCGGUGGAGCAUGUGGUUAAUUUCGAUGCAACGCGAAGAA